rnacentral:rRNA from 1 species
UACGUAGGAUGCAAGCGUUGUCCGGAAUUAUUGGGCGUAAAGAGCGCGCAGGCGGUAUGACAAGUCAGAUGUGAAAGAGGCCGGCUUAACCGGCAAGGGUCAUUUGAAACUGUCAGACUAGAGUGCAGCAGAGGAUAGUGGAAUUCCCGGUGUAGUGGUGAAAUGCGUAGAUAUCGGGAGGAACACCAGAGGCGAAGGCGACUAUCUGGGCUGCAACUGACGCUGAGGCGCGAAGGCUAGGGUAGCAAACAGG